UUGCACAAAUUCUACAAGCCAAGAUGUGUCUAUGAAGCUGACGCUAACCAGAGGCGGAAGAGCAUUACAAAUUGAGUGAAGCUCCUAGUUGGGUUAACGGCAGCCCUGGCCCCAGGAUCUCAAAAGCAGCCUGAAAAGCAGAUGAUGACAAUGGAACAUGGAUAUGCAGCCCCUGGGGCGAACCUGAGUGUUUGAAAUGCAUGGCAACAAUGUUUAAUUCAUGGCAACAAUGAAUCAGUGCUCUAAGGAAGAAAGAAGUGAAUGGCAAGAUUGCACUUGCCCUCACAGGACUGCCAGCCAGAAACUACAUUUCCCAGCAUCCCUUGCAGCUUGGUAUGGCCAUGUGACCACAUUCUCAUUAAUACAGGUAGAAUAUGAAAACUUCCUGUGUGGGUCCUUUUAUGGCUGCUUCUAGAUUUUCAAAGCUGUCCCAGCUGAGACGCAGGCAAAGAGAAGAAAGAGGCUGGGCUGAAAACCACUGCAAUUUCCUGGGGAGAGAGUGCCCCCGGAUGGGCCAUUGA
rnacentral:lncRNA from 1 species